rnacentral:rRNA from 1 species
UACGUAGGGUGCGAGCGUUGUCCGGAAUUAUUGGGCGUAAAGAGCUUGUAGGCGGUUUGUCGCGUCUGCCGUGAAAUUUCGAGGCUCAACCUCGAACUUGCGGUGGGUACGGGCAGACUAGAGUGUGGUAGGGGAGACUGGAAUUCCUGGUGUAGCGGUGAAAUGCGCAGAUAUCAGGAGGAACACCGAUGGCGAAGGCAGGUCUCUGGCCACUACUGACGCUGAGAAGCGAAAGCAUGGGGAGCGAACAGG